UACGUAGGGGGCAAGCGUUGUCCGGAUUCAUUGGGCGUAAAGAGCGUGUAGGCGGCCAGGUAGGUCGGUUGUGAAAACUGGAGGCUCAACCUUCAGAGGUCGACCGAAACCAUCUGGCUAGAGUCCGGGAGAGGAGAGUGGAAUUCCUGGUGUAGCGGUGAAAUGCGCAGAUAUCAGGAAGAACACCGGUGGCGAAGGCGGCUCGCUGGGCCAGUUCUGACACUCAUCCGCGAAAGCGUGGGGAGCAAACAGG
rnacentral:rRNA from 1 species